GCCAGCAUGGUGUAGUGGUUUGAGUGUUGGACUAUGACUCCGGAGACCAAGGUUCAAUUCCCAGCUUGGACA
rnacentral:tRNA from 1 species